GGGUGAACGGCGGCGGUAACUAUAACCGUCCUAUGGUAGCGAAAUCCCUCGUCUGGUGAGUUCAGACCCGCACGAAAGGUUUAACCACUUGACAACUGUCUCGAACCUUCACUCGGUGAAAUUGAAAUGGCUGUGAAGAUGCGGCCUACAUACUCUUGGACAAAAAGACCCCGUGGAGCUUUACUGUUAUUUGAUACUGAAAUGAAACGAUGAAUUGUUUAGUGUAGGAGGGAGCCGCAAGGCGUCAAUGAAACACCUCUCUUUCGUUGUUUUCAGAUCUAACCCAUUCCGGCUGGAGACGCCGGAGGGGACAGUGUUAGAAAGACAGUUUGACUGGGGCAGUCACUUGCUAAAAGGUAACACAAGUUCACAAAGGUACCCUAAACCCGGAUGGAAAUCGGGUGUUUUGUGUAAAGGCACAAGGGUGCUUGACUGCGAGACUGACAGGUCGAGCUCCCGAUGUAAAAAUCGGGACGCCGAUGCCGAAAGGCCUCGGUGAGGUGCGAAAGCAGGUCUUAGUGAUCCUCCGCCGUUCAGUGGUUGAAGGCGGAGCUUAAAGGAUAAAAGCUACCCCGGGGAUAACAGGCUAGUCGCGCCCGAGCGUCCACAGCGCCGGCGCGGUUCGGCACCUUAACAUACAUCGGGGUGUGGUAGGAGUAAUCCU
rnacentral:rRNA from 1 species